GAAACUGGCAACUCUAAUUCAAUGCAGAAUGCGUUCAUUGAUUUAUAAGUACAAGUAUUUUUACAGAUCAUUGCUUAUUUUCGUUGGAGAGAAAUCAAACGUUCACCAUUUCAGUAAUGAAAUGCUAUAAUAGAGUAACUAUAUUUAUUUUUAUAUCUGGAUACAUAUUUCUCUGGAAUACCAUAGGGCGCACCCGGAAAUCUUCUAGGCCGCAUCAGUGCGCCCUGGCGCAUACUUUGAGAACCACUGAUUUAAACAGUAAAAGUCGCCUCAGAUUAGACAUUUAUACGUAUACUGUAUUUCUUCUAGAUCACAAAGUAUUUUGGGAUUCGAAGAAUUCAGACUAUUAAUAGAAAUAUUCUAUUGGAUUUAAUUAAAUACGUCGCUAUUAUUCGAUGAGUAAACCAAACAAAUAUUCGAGAAAUCUUGAUU
rnacentral:lncRNA from 1 species